GCCUGGGUGGCUCAGUUGGUUGAGCGUCUGGCUUCAGCUUAGGUCAUGAUCCCAGGGUCCUGGGAUCGAGUCCCACAUCGGGCA
rnacentral:tRNA from 1 species